AGAGCGAACGUUAGCGGCGGGCCUAACACAUGCAAGUCGAACGCGAAAGGUCUUCGGACUGAGUAGAGUGGCGCACGGGUGAGUAACACGUAGGUAAUCUACCCUUUGGCGGGGGAUAACGUUCCGAAAGGAGCGCUAAUACCGCAUAAGACCACGGAGUCUCCGGACGCUGUGGGAAAAGGUGGCCUCUUCUUGAAAGCUACCACCGAAGGAUGAGCCUGCGUCCCAUCAGCUAGUUGGUAAGGUAAUGGCUUACCAAGGCGAAGACGGGUAGCUGGUUUGAGAGAAUGAUCAGCCACACUGGCACUGGAACACGGGCCAGACUCCUACGGGAGGCAGCAGUGAGGAAUAUUGGGCGAUGGGCGAAAGCCUGACCCAGCCACGCCGCGUGAGUGAUGAAGGCCCUCGGGUCGUAAAGCUCUGUGGAGAGGGACGAAAACCCUGGUUUCAAAUAGGCUCCAGGCUUGACGGUACCUCUUUAGCAAGCACCGGCUAACUCUGUG
rnacentral:rRNA from 1 species